rnacentral:rRNA from 1 species
GAUGAACGCUGGCGGCGUGCCUAAUACAUGCAAGUCGAGCGAACAGACGAGGAGCUUGCUCCUCUGACGUUAGCGGCGGACGGGUGAGUAACACGUGGAUAACCUACCUAUAAGACUGGGAUAACUUCGGGAAACCGAAGCUAAUACCGGAUAAUAUAUUGAACCGCAUGGUUCAAUAGUGAAAGACGGUUUUGCUGUCACUUAUAGAUGGAUCCGCGCCGCAUUAGCUAGUUGGUAAGGUAACGGCUUACCAAGGCAACGAUGCGUAGCCGACCUGAGAGGGUGAUCGGCCACACUGGAAUUGAGACACGGUCCAGACUCCUACGGGAGGCAGCAGUAGGGAAUCUUCCGCAAUGGGCGAAAGCCUGACGGAGCAACGCCGCGUGAGUGAUGAAGGUCUUCGGAUCGUAAAACUCUGUUAUUAGGGAAGAACAAAUGUGUAAGUAACUAUGCACGUCUUGACGGUACCUAAUCAGAAAGCCACGGCUAACUACGUG